rnacentral:tRNA from 1 species
CCUUGGUUAGCUCAGUUGGUGGAGCGCUCCACUGGAAAUGGAGGGCCCGGGUUCGAUACCCGGACCAGGCG